rnacentral:rRNA from 1 species
CAGCAGCCGCCGCGGGAAUACAGAGGGUGCGAGCGUUAAUCGGAUUUACUGGGCGUAAAGCGUGCGUAGGCGGCUUCUUAAGUCGGAUGUGAAAUCCCUGAGCUUAACUUAGGAAUUGCAUUCGAUACUGGGAAGCUAGAGUAUGGGAGAGGAUGGUAGAAUUCCAGGUGUAGCGGUGAAAUGCGUAGAGAUCUGGAGGAAUACCGAUGGCGAAGGCAGCCAUCUGGCCUAAUACUGACGCUGAGGUACGAAAGCAUGGGGAGCAAACAGGAUUAGAUACCCCUGUAGUCCCUGUCUCUUAUAC